GCCUUCGGAGCUCAGUGGUUAUAGAGCACUGGUCUCGUAAACCAGGGGUCGUGAGUUCGAUCCUCACCGGGGGCU